rnacentral:rRNA from 1 species
AUUGAACGCUGGCGGCAUGCUUUACACAUGCAAGUCGAACGGCAGCGCGGGCUUCGGCCUGGCGGCGAGUGGCGAACGGGUGAGUAAUACAUCGGAACGUGCCCAGUAGUGGGGGAUAGCUCGGCGAAAGCCGGAUUAAUACCGCAUACGACCUGAGGGUGAAAGCGGGGGAUCUUCGGACCUCGCGCUAUUGGAGCGGCCGAUGGCAGAUUAGCUAGUUGGUGGGGUAAAGGCCUACCAAGGCGACGAUCUGUAGCUGGUCUGAGAGGACGACCAGCCACACUGGGACUGAGACACGCCCAGACUCCUACGGGAGGCAGCAGUGGGGAAUUUUGGACAAUGGGCGAAAGCCUGAUCCAGCAAUGCCGCGUGUGUGAUGAAGGCCUUCGGGUUGUAAAGCACUUUUGGCGGGAACGAAAAGGACUGUGCCAAUACCACGGUUCGAUGACGGUACCCGCAGAAUAAGCACCGGCUAACUACGUG